GGGUACGAGAAGGCAGCUACACGGCGACGUGAUGCUAAUCCCCAAAACCUCUCUCAGUUCGGAUUGGAGUCUGCAACCCGACUCCAUGAAGCUGGAUUCGCUAGUAAUCGCGCAUCAGCCACGGCGCGGUGAAUACGUUCCCGGCCUUGUACACACCGCCCGUCAAGCCAUGAAAGCCGGGGGUACCUGAAGUCCGUAACCGUAAGGAGCGGCCUAGGGUAAAACUGGUAAUUGGGGCUAAGUCGUAACAAGGUAAC
rnacentral:rRNA from 1 species